GAUGAACGCUAGCGAUAGGCUUAACACAUGCAAGUCGAGGGGUAACGUGUUGGAAGCUUGCUUCCGAUGACGACGACCGGCGGAUGGGUGCGUAACGCGUAUGCAACUUGCCUCACAGUGGAGAAUAACCCGGAGAAAUCCGGACUAAUACUCCAUACACUCUUAAGUACGCCUGUACAUGAGAGGAAAGAUUUAUCGCUGUGAGAUAGGCAUGCGUCCUAUUAGGUAGUUGGUGAGGUAACGGCUCACCAAGCCGACGAUAGGUAGGGGUGCUGAGAGGCAGAUCCCCCACAUUGGGACUGAGACACGGCACAAACUCCUACGGGAGGCAGCAGUGAGGAAUAUUGGUCAAUGGAGGAAACUCUGAACCAGCCAAGUCGCGUGAAGGAAGAAUGUCCUAAGGAUUGUAAACUUCUUUAGCGAGCGAGUAAGGACUUCCACGUGAUGGGAGUUUGAAAGUAGCUCGAGAAUAAGUAUCGGCUAACUCCGUG
rnacentral:rRNA from 1 species